rnacentral:lncRNA from 1 species
AGAGAAUCAGAGUACGGAGGAUCCUUGUAAGAACUCAGUUAACAACUUUCAUCAUCUCCAUUUCCUCCGUUCUCAACCCAAACAAUCAAAUAUCACGAAUUGAAUUUCCAUUGCCAUCCAAUAGUCAAGCACUAAACCCCCAUGAGUGGUUUGUAACCGGUAGUCAAACUCCUAAAUGCUACCAUUAUAAUCAGAGCUGUGAUCUUCGUCUUCCUUUACUUAUUUGCUGGAGUUUCAGAACCUGGGCACUCUUUAAUUCACUCGAAACUGUGAAGGAUAAAUCACUGGUUAGUGUACAAGUAAGUUUCCAGUGAUGAAAGUUACUGUAUUUUUUUCUUCAAUUAUGUGUUAAUCGAGGCAAUUAGAGAUGUCUUUACAUUAAUACCGUGGUGAUUUUAUGUUUUUAGGAAUUUUGUGCUUUUAAGUUGAAGCGAGUAGUCGGAUUGUGUUGUCAUUCCAUUGUUUUUAUUUCACAACUCGCCUGAUCAUGAGAAAUUGAUGGCUUGGCGAUCGUGCUUUCAUAAAUUUUAUGUUCCUCCGACGAGCUAUCUUGGUAUCUUAAUGCCCUUGUCUCUGGAAUUUAGUUCAAACUUCCUUUUCCGUGCAAUAGCUUCAAAUUUUCUUGAACAUUGUCGAAAUACCAAUUGCUUUUCUCUACUAUAUUCUCGUUCAAAAAUGUGGAAUUAGAUUUUUUAAGCGACAUAUGAACUUCUCUCCUGAAAAAGAAAGCACUAGUUGAGAUUUAUUUUUUCCUUCUGGUGAAGGGGAUCACCUUUGCCUCUCCUGCGAUAUCUUUUCCAAUAUGAAUGAGUUCUGUCUUUUCUUUUUUUGCGCCUGUUGAUGGUUUUCUAUAGUAUGUAUAUAGAUAGGCGACAAAAAUUAAAAGGAAAAUUCUAGUUUAUGUUAAACAACUAUCAUCUCAUAGCUUAAGCUAUUAGAAAAGAACCAAAAUUUCUUAAUAAGUAUGUCUUGAGCAAUUCUUGUCACAUGUAGGGUAGAUUAAUUUUUUCAUCACAGGUUCAACAAGUGGAUUUUCCAUAAUUGGGCAGUGGUGCCACUUGAACUCAAGUAUGCAAUACUAUGUUAAACCAUCUUAUUAAAAAACGCUGAAGGUGAGAUGGUUCAACAGUUAAUCUGUUAAAGCAUUGUCUCCAUCAGCAAUGAAAAAUUCGGGUUUUAAUGUUCCAGACCUCAACGUAAAAAUGAUAAAAUUCCAUGUUGGUCUUGUCUAUGCUGCUCCUAUUCUUCUUGCAAAUUUAGUCUCUUUUUUCCAAUUUCAGGUUUUGGAACUUGGAAGAUGGCUGAAGAUCUGGAGAAACCGUUAUUAGGUCCUGAAAAUUUCAAUAAAGAGGGGAUUGAUCUGGUAGAUGGCCAAUACAUGCACGUCCCCCUUAGCUUCUUGUCACUCCGCAAUAGCAACUAAGCCAUGCAAUUUAUGGUCUCAACAGGAGCGCUUGCCACUAGAACAAGUUUUUGAACAACUAAAAAGUCACAAGCAGGACUAUCAUUGGAAGAUGCGGAGAUACGCUUAAAAAUAUUUGGCCCAAACAAGCUUGAAGAGAAUCCAGUGAGUUCUUGUAUGAGAAAAAAUAAAAAAAAUUGAGACACCAUCUGUCAAAGCAAGAGUGCAGGAUUCCACCGUCAUUCAUAUUUGUCUACAUUUUUUUUUACUGAAACUGGAAGAUCAAGAAUAUAUUUCAUAUCUGUAAAAAAAGGUAGUGCAGCACAGAAUGUUGAAUCUGCUUGUUGAGGAUAUGAGAUACAGUUUCUCACUCGUUCAAUUACUAGAAUGUACUCGUCUUCAAGAAAUAGUCAUCCUGUAUAAUUUAUGAAGUUUUUUUAACUUAGACCUUGUCAUUAUCCAAGGAAGUCUUCCUGAGAUGCCUGGGAUAUACUUACUCUGUUAGUAAUACAAUGACAGGAUAAUGAGCUGUUAACGGAAAGAAAGAUUACAUUACCAUCUUUAUGUGAUUGUAUUUUGGAAUAAUCGUAUAUUACUAUAUUAGGUCA